CUCACUCGUUGUUUUCGCCGCCUGGGGACCCGGUCGCUGACUGAAACUCAAAGGAAAUKACGGGGGCCCGCACAAACGAUGGACUAUGUGGUUUAAUUCGAUGCAACGCGAAGAACCUUACCUGGUCUUGACAUCCACGGAACUUUCCAGAGAUGGAUUGGUGCCUUCGGGAWCCKUGAGACCGGGGAUGCAUGGCUGUCGUCAGCUUGUGUCGUGAGAUGUUGGGUUAAGUCCCGCAACGAGCGCAACCCUUGUCCUUAGUUGCCAGCAYGUAAUGCUGGGAACUCUAAGGAGUCUGCCGGUGACAAACCGGAGGAAGGUGGGGAUGACGGCAAGUCAUCAUGGUCCUUACGACCAGGGCUACACACGUUGUACAAUGGUCAGGACAGAGGGCUGCGAGCCGGGGACGGUGAUCCAAUCCCAGAAACCUGAUCUCAGUCCGGAUUGGAGUCUGCAACUCGACUCCUGAAKUCGGAAUCGCUAGUAAUCGCAGAUCAGCAUUUCUGCAGGAAUACGUUCCCGGGCCUUGUACACACCGCCCGUCGCACCAUGGGAGUUUGUUGCACCAGAAGCCGGUAGCUYACCUUCGGGAGGGCAGCUGUCCACGUUUUCCGU
rnacentral:rRNA from 1 species